GCUCGCUUCAGCACUGCAUAUACUAAAAUUGGAAUGACACAGAGAUUAGCAUGACCCCUGUGCAAGGAUGACAUGUAAACUUGUGAAGCGUUCUAUAUUUUA